GUGAUUAUUCUUUUAGGAAUAAUUUCUAUAGUUGUUUCCUGGAGAAAUGGGUUCUUGAGUGUUUGGUAUCACAAGCCAUGAGGAGGAUUUAGAGUAUUCUUUUUCUCAGCAGGAAGUUGGUCUGGAGUGUUGCUUAUUUUUACAACUGCUCUUUACCUUUGAUGAGUGUUCUGACUCCCUUGUGGGCAGUUAGAGGAAGAGAAUGCUUUCUUAGUGGU